rnacentral:misc_RNA from 1 species
AUAUGCUGUGAAUGUCUCACACAGAAACAACGACAUCUCUAUCCGUCUGCCUGUCUUGCAAAAACGGAAAUAUCGUUUUCUUUCAUGUUAAACUUUCAAUUCAAUCGUAUAUCAGUAGAGUUCAAUUGAAAACAUGAGAUCGCGCCGCACGAUGGAAACUGAAAUUUGAAAAAUAGUGUACCACAGCUGACGAGUAUUUACAACUCGAUCGGAGCGCCGAUACUGGGAAUUGGGAAAACGCACCGCGUCGCUAAAAGGAAUUAUCUCACCACGGGAAUUCCCAGAACACCUAUCUCCUUCGUCAUUGAGGCCCGACUGCUCGUUUUCAUCAUUUUUCUCGUUAUAUAUUACAUUUACAUCAUAACAAGGACAAAAAUUCAAUUCACAAUUUUAACUUGGAUCGGCAAUAAAGUUUCGAGUUCAUUUUAUAUAUUUACAUUAAAAAUAAUAAUUUUAAGAACAGUUGUACUAAUUAAAUUCUACAAGUUUUUAAGCCUAGAACGGAACAAAUGUAAUAAUAUGGGCAAGAGACACGAUAUAAUCAAAAUUAAUAUAUCACAUUUCUUUUGCAUAUAUUAUAUCUUAAAUAUUAAUAACUAUACUGAGAUUCGUAGACAUCCAAAAUUAUUUUGUUACAUAAUUAUUAUUAUUUGUAAUUA